rnacentral:rRNA from 1 species
UACGAAGGGGGCAAGCGUUGUUCGGAAUUACUGGGCGUAAAGGGCGCGUAGGCGGCCUGCUAAGUCGAACGUGAAAUCCCCGGGCUCAACCCGGGAACUGCGUCCGAUACUGGUGGGCUUGAAUCCGGGAGAGGGAUGUGGAAUUCCAGGUGUAGCGGUGAAAUGCGUAGAUAUCUGGAGGAACACCGGUGGCGAAGGCGGCAUCCUGGACCGGUAUUGACGCUGAGGCGCGAAAGCUAGGGGAGCAAACGGG